CGGGGGUCCACCCACUCUGCCUCUGCCCUCCUCUCAGUCCCUGUUUCCCCCUCAUGCUCCACCCACACAUCCUAGAACCUGGGGGCUUUAACUUGAAGUCUUCCUGAGGUUCUGUGGGAGCAGCUCAAUAUGCUUCUUGUUAUCACCCCUCUCUGAAGGGAAUCUGUUGAAUCAGUUACCUUCUUCCAUCUACUUUCUAUCUGUCCCUCAAGUUAGUUAACAUUUUUAGUCUAGUAUUGUCUCCUCACUCGUACCCCUUGUCCUCAUAAUUUUAUAUCUGUUUCAUUUCUUUCAGAUAAGAAAUGAGAUAAAUGCAUGUGUUCAGUCUGAGUAUCUCACUGAGAAUCUCUAAGCAUUAGCUCCAAGACCUCUCAUUUCUCACAGUGAUUCCAUACAGCAGAUCCCGUUAUAGGAUCCUCCACACCUGGUGGGAUCGGAGCCUUUUCAUGACCCGUGCUGCAGUGACACGGUGAGAGGUGAUUGACAUUGGGAAAGAGAAAUUGGCCUGUUACACUGCCCUGAAGAUCAGCACUGUCCUAGGCCUGCUUCUACCGCUGCAAGUACAGAUGGCAGGUACCCCUGUUCACGUGGAGGAGGCCAAUGGGUCUGCACAAAGACUUGGGCUCUGUGUCCCUCCCGAUGGAGGAUCAGAGGGUGGUAAGAGCACGGCUCAGAUGGAUGUGCUGGAGGAAAUGCACCAGGAAAUCCUGAUCGGGGUGCAAUCAGUCACUGUUAAUGCUCAUAAGUAUCAAAGCUACUUGAAGAAAUACAGCUACUUAUAAAUGGGCAAUAAAGUUGAAUUCAUGAAGCAGUUCCUUCUCCAUGGGCAAUUUCUUGGUGCUGAAGAACUGGAAUUGCAUGCAGACUAUGAGUGUCAGAACUCCACACGGCAGUUAACACACUUUAAAGAACAGGUAUUGAAUUUUAGUUGAGUCGAGCAUCAUCUUUUUCAAUUCCAGGGACAGCUUGUUAAAUCAUAAAAUACUUUGAGAUAUGAAGCUCUUAUCUCUGAGAGAUCUUUUUUCUUUAAAAUCAACACUAUGAAAUACUAUUUGAAGGAGCUGACAAUUUUAAAAAGCAGAGGAUAUUUAGUGACUAGCUUCAAGUUGAUAUUAAACCUUUUAAAAAUCAAUGAUAAAUGUUAUAAAAAAUAGAAUUUGAUAUUUGGGGAGUAUCUGCUUAACCAUGUAACCUGCAGAUAGAGUAAUUUGAAUCUGGUUGAUUAUGAGAAGAAAUUAAAAUAACACAAAUCAUUUGA